rnacentral:rRNA from 1 species
UACGUAGGGGGCGAGCGUUGUCCGGAGUUACUGGGUGUAAAGGGCAUGCAGGCGGUCCGACACGUUUUGUGUGACAGCGGGUGGCCUUAACUACCCGAGGAUACGAAAGACGGUUGGACUUGAGGACUCGAGGAGGGACGACGGAAUUCCGGGUGGAGUGGUAGAAAUGCGUAGAGAUCCGGGAGGAACACCGAAGGCGAAGGCAGUGUCCUGGCGAGUGACUGACGCUGAGGUGCGAAAGCCAGGGGAGCGAACGGG